rfam:Schistosoma mansoni strain Puerto Rico chromosome 2, complete genome
GCACUGCUGAAUGGUCCCAUAAUAGGACGAAACGGUCGUCCAGUGC